rnacentral:rRNA from 1 species
AUACGUAGGGGACGAGCGUUGUCCGGAAUUACUGGGCGUAAAGGGCGCGCAGGCGGAUAUUUAAGUCAGCUGUAAAAGGCAUGAGCUCAACUCAUGUAUGCGGUUGAAACUGGGUAUCUAGAGUGCUGGAGAGGUAGGCGGAAUUCCCGGUGUAGCGGUGAAAUGCGUAGAUAUCGGGAAGAACACCAGUGGCGAAGGCGGCUUACUGGCCAGCAACUGCCGCUGAGGCGCGAAAGCCAGGGGAGCAAACGGGAUUAGAUACCCCGGUAGUCCUGGCAGUAAACGAUGUAUGCUGGGUGUGGGAGUAGCGAUACCUCCGUGCCGAAGUUAACGCGAUAAGCAUACCGCCUGGGGAGUACGGUCGCAAGAUUGAAACUCAAAUGAAUUGGCGGGG